AGCAUUGAAUAAGUCUUAAUCUCCUUGCUUUGUUCCUUUUAUCGGUCUCCCCAUAUUGAUGAAGAGACUUGUCCCGAAGUCUGUCUCAUUCUCAUUGUCUAGGUACAGAGGAAAAUUAAUGACGUUGAAAGUUGUUGAGACUCCAUAAUUAUCGAGCCAUUAGAUCUUGUAAGCAUUUUCAUCAACUCUAUUUAAAACUCAAAAAGAACCAUCAAUAUUUGGAAGGACUUUUCCAACACGCCUAGAAGAGAUUCACUUUCUAGGACUCAUUCGAUAGGCUGUUAUGGUUGGAAUAAAAGCACUAAGCACAAAAUUGGAGUAUUGUCGAACUUGAAAACCCAAAUAUUAUUAAAAACAUCGGACAUAGCCUCAUAGGUGUCGUCAAAUGAAGGACACAACCUAAUUGGGAUCUCCUUUCUUGCUUCAUGUUCUUGAUUCUCGGCAAGUUUCUUGUAACCAAAAGCUUUUUUCCAAUGGUCUCAAGCCAAUGGUAGUCUUUAGAGAUGUCGACUUUGACAUCGAAAUCAUAAGAAGUAUAAUUUAUGCGAAGAUGGCGUAAACGAGGCUCUUCAUUAGAUGUGUUGGAACAAACAUUAUGGAAAGGAUAAGUCUCUUCUUUGUUUGUCUUCUUCUUCACGGUCAUAACAGGGAUAGUCACAUCUCAACAAGUGAGAUUUCUCUAAUUGUUCUUGGAGUUUUUGCACUUGUCUUCUCAAAUCUUCCAGUUUGACAUCACGAUGGUCACCAUUAAGUGCACAGAGAAGAUAACCAGCCAUACCAGAGGGGUUAAGAGAUUUAGAAGGUAGCACAAAUGCGACAUCAGAAAUUCUCACCAUUUAAGGAAUCCCCUUCAGGAUACAGAGCAUAUGAUAGAAUAAAUGCUCACCACCUAAGGAAUCCACUUUAGGAUAGGGCAAAUAAAGGGUAGUUAAAGGAAUCUUUCUUAGGCUCCAAAGUUUGUAACUCACCGCUCAAUGGAGUUAUCCAAAG
rnacentral:lncRNA from 1 species